GAGGGUAUAGCUCAGUGGUAGAGCACAUGCCUAGCCUGCACGAGAUCAUGGGUUCCAUCCCAUUACGUCA
rnacentral:tRNA from 1 species